UGCCUCAUUGACCGGAAGGCAUUCCUUGCGGUCAAUGAGGUUGUUACACCUGAUUGAUUGGAAGGAAAUCCUUCCAAUCAACGAGAAACAACAACACCAUUGACCAGAAGGCAUUCCUUGCGGUCAAUGAGGUU
rnacentral:miRNA from 1 species